rnacentral:rRNA from 1 species
AGUGAACGCUGGCGGCGUGCCUAAUACAUGCAAGUCGAACGGUAACAGGGUGUAGCUUGCUACACUGCUGACGAGUGGCGCACGGGUGAGUAAUGCAUAGGUUAUGUGCCCCAUAGUCUGGAAUAGCCACUGGAAACGGUGAUUAAUACCGGAUAUUCCCGAGAGGGGAAAGUUUUUCGCUAUGGGAUCAGCCUAUGUCCUAUCAGCUUGUUGGUGAGGUAAUGGCUCACCAAGGCUAUGACGGGUAUCCGGCCUGAGAGGGUGAUCGGACACACUGGAACUGAGACACGGUCCAG